AUACGGAGGGUGCAAGCGUUAUUCGGAAUCACUGGGCGUAAAGGACGCGUAGGCGGGUUGGCAAGUCAGAUGUGAAAUCCUACAGCUUAACUGUAGAACUGCAUUUGAAACUGCUAACUUAGAGUAUGGGAGGGGGAGAUGGAAUUAGUGGUGUAGGGGUAAAAUCCGUAGAUAUCACUAGGAAUACCGAAAGCGAAGGCGAUCUCCUGGAACAUAACUGACGCUAAGGCGUGAAAGCGUGGGGAGCAAACAGGAUUAGAUACCCUAGUAGUCC
rnacentral:rRNA from 1 species